UAGAUACAUAUGCUUAGGAGAUGAAAAAAAACUUCUCAGCAGAUUCGUAUAAUUAUUAGCGUUAUUAGUGUAUGAAAUGAAUAAUUAUAGUAUACUUCAUUCAUUCAGACUUCUUGUUAUGUUAGCAUGAAAUGAAUAAUUAUUAGUAUAUGAAAUAAUUCUGACUUCUUAUUAUGUUAGCUAAGAUCGAUCAAAACGAACCCUUCUUAUUUUUCUCUAUCGUCGUCUCUGCGAACCCUAGCUUUUCACUCUCUGUGCUUCGAUCAAAACUUGCAUUUCAAACUUUGAGCAUGGCUUCCAGAUCAUCGGGUCGUAACAACUCUGCUUCGAAAGGGUUUGAUUUCGCCACCACCGAUGACUUUGUUUGCUCGUACGAGGACUACGGCAAUCAGGAUAAUUAUAAUGGAAGGCACUCCGAUUCCGUGAUCGGAUCCAAUUCUGCUAAGCUUUUCACUCUCUGUGCUUCGAUCAAAGCUUGCAUUUUCAAACUUUGAGCAUGGCUUCCAGAUCAUCAGGUUGUAACAACUCUGCUUCAACAGGGUUUGAUUUCGCCACCAACAGGAUAAUUAUAAUGGAAGGUACUCUGAUUCCGUGAUCGGAUCCAAUUCUGCUAAGGUCAUAAAUACUUUUUAAAAUUUAAAAAAUAUAAUUUUCAACCACAAAAAUGGCGUCUCUCACCCCUGGCAUCCUCUCCAAACAUCUCCAAAAUCUCAGCAACACUGUCGCCGGAGGGUAUCGACAAGAAAGUGGGUGUGAAAGGAGAGAUUGAGGGUUCGGGAAAAGAUGGGUUAGAGAGAGAGAGUCUGGCUUCUCUCUAGAAAUUGCCUAAAUUUCUAGGGUUUUCUCAUUCAACAUUUCGUUGAUAAUGGCUGAUCUCAUAUCUAAUUUACGCAAUUUGGCUACGAUGGUUGAUGGGUUAGUGACUGAAGGUUCUCCUUCGCCUAAGGGGAGUUCGCACAUCGUGAAAGAUUCACUGUUGGAGAGGGAUUUGUUAACAUUGAUGGACAUCGUGAAGCGAAAUGGGGGUAAAAAUCAGUCUUCUGCCUCCGAGAUCGUUUUGGGUAUGAGCCCUAGGGCUUCGAUUGGGGUUCAGUCCGAGGUCCCUACUCCUAGUUCCUUUGUCGAAGCUAUUGGUGGUCUCUGUUCCGAGAUCCGAGACCUUGCUCAGCAACAAAAGCUUUGUUUUGGGGGAGAAGUGGUGUCGAGCCUUGCCGUUGUUCAUUCGCAGCACUGCUACAAAUGUUGAGAUUGAGUUGCCUGUUCCAGCCGAUGCUACCAACCCAAAUGUUCGGACAUCAUUGGGAUCUGCUUCAUAUGCACCAGAAAAGGAUGCUUUGAUCCGGAAAAUUAAUCUUUUCCUGGUGGUAAGGAAUAUAUGCUUAGAGCGGAGUAUACUCUUCCCAGUAUAACAUCUGAAGACGCAGCUCCUGAGAGAAAAGCUCCUAUACGUGUGAAGUUUGAGAUACCAUAUUUUGCUGUUUCAGGAAUCCAGAUUCGUUACCUAAAGAUUAUCGAGAAAAGCGGCUACCAGGCUCUUCCAUGUGUGAGAUACAUAACCAUGGCCGGCGAGUAUGAACUAAGACUUAUGUGAAAAUCCACUUCCACCUGUUGGUGUUCUCAAUCUCUACAAACUCGCAUGAUUUUGCACUUUCGUGGGCAAAAUGAGCCUAUAGGAGAGUUAAAUUGCCCCUAUCCAGACAAAUAGCUAAUUGAGCAAAUUCUUGCGCUUCCGUUUUCUUUGUUGAAGUCAUUGUUGAUUAUCAACCAGAGGUACGCAUCUUUUGGACCUGAAUAUGCCUACCCACAGGGUGUACAAUCCUCACAUGGGUCAGCACUACCUUCAAAUAUAUGGCGUACCAAGCACAGUUAACACAAAUAUUGUCCCAUAUGGACAAAUGGGUCCUCCUCUCUCUGGCAACCAUGGGUAUCCAACCAUUCAGGGCUAUGUGACACCAGGUCGUCAUGUUCUGCAAUAUGGGGGACCCCUCGUCAGUGGAGUAACUACAGACACUAUUGUCAUAACUCAAGCACAAUACCUUGUAGGUAACUCUCUAUCUCUCUCUCUCUCUCUCUCUCUCUCUGCUUUGAGCUGGGAAAUGAGUGUGAAAAUGAUGCAUACCAGAUUUGGCAUAUAGCCAAAAAAAUUAUCAACCUGGAGUUGCUACUAGAAUUUUGUUAACAAUACAUAUUUGCGUAUGUGCAUACGCCUAAGUAUAUAAAUGUCCAUCCAUGUUACACACAGACAUGCAAUUCUAGA